GUUAAACAGUCUUUAAAGCUAACAUGUUUGUGAGUUGUUCAACGGUGAAUGGAAUGUUUUUUUAUGGAGUGAAAGAGUUUUACUGUCGCAGCAUUUCUGUGAAUGAGCCGACCGUUUUUCCCGCGCAAUGCUAAAUUUCUUUUGCUCCCUUUGUCAUGGGCAGGUGGGCUGAUGUCGGCUGGGUAUGAUAUUUGCUGCUGAACAGUUUUCAUAUCACUCUGUACAGAAUAAAUACGCCAUCAGUAGGCUGACCUGGAA